rnacentral:lncRNA from 1 species
UUUAAGAUUUGAUUAGGAUUUGAUUUAGUAUUUAGGAUUUGAUUAGGAUUUAUUUAGGAUUUAUUUAUAAUUUAUUUAGAAAUUUUGUUAAUAAUAUUUUUUAGACUUAAUAUUUUGAAAUUUUUUUAGAAUUUCUUUAAUUUUUUUUUAAAAAAAAAUUAUGAUUUUUUUAUAUUUCUUUUAUAAUUUCUUUGAGAUUUUAAUUGGAUUUGAUUAAGGUUUGAUUAGGAUUGUUAAGCUUUAAUUGAGAUUUACUUAAGCUCCUAUUAGAAUUGUUAGGAUCUUCUUGUUUCAAUUUCAAUUUUAUCCUCUUUAACCAAGUGCCUAAAAUAUUCUCAAGCUAGACUUCAUGUAAUACAAUAAUGCUUUAUUUUUUUAAUCUAAAAUAAUUAUAUCAAAGAU